rfam:Glossina pallidipes unplaced genomic scaffold Scaffold161, whole genome shotgun sequence.
GGGGGCCAUUUUUAGUAUGUAAGCGCCUUGGAAUCGUGCGAAUCGUGCAUGCUACUACUAAGAACUAGCAGUAUCUUUUGAAGAUUUUCUACCUCC